AUUUAUAUAGUUUAAAAAAAACAUUUCAUUUUCAAUGAAAAAAUAAGUUUUACUUUAUAAAUA
rnacentral:tRNA from 1 species